rnacentral:rRNA from 1 species
GCAUAUCAAUAAGCGGAGGAAGAGAAACUAACAAGGAUUCCCCUAGUAACGGCGAGUGAACCGGGAAUAGCCCAACUUGAAAAUCUCCUCUGGAGAAUUGUAGUCUAUAGAAGCGUCCUCUGUGACUGGCAGGGCCCAAGUCCGCUGGAAGGCGGCGUCGAAGAGGGUGAGAACCCCGUCGGUCCUUGCAUGUGUGUCACUCCACGAGGUGCUUUCCACGAGUCGGGUUGUUUGGGAAUGCAGCCCUAAUUUGGAGGUAAAUCCCUUCUAAGGCUAAAUAUGGACGAGAGACCGAUAGCGAACAAGUACCGUGAGGGAAAGAUGAAAAGAACUUUGAAAAGAGAGUUAAAAAGUGCUUGAAAUUGUUGAGAGGGAAGGGUAUGGAGGCUGCGUGUGCGUCCAGGCUUAUGCGUCUCUCACGAGCCGUUGUAUGUGCUGGAUGCUGGUCAGCAUCGGUCGAUCUGGGCGGGAUAACAACAGGGAUUGAUACCCUGUCGAUGCCGCCUGAUCGAUCGAGGUGUGAAGAGCGCCCUGGUCCAUUUUUGGAACUGCGUCCUCAAGAUGCUGGCAGAAUGCUUCCCUACCACCCGUCUUGAAACACGGACCAAGGAGUUCAACAAUUACACGAGCUGGUGGGUUGUAAACCCAUGAGCGCAAGUAACCUGACUGGUGGGAUGGCCUCACGGCCUGCACCAUCGACCGACCAUGAGCUUCUGCAAAAGGUUUGAGUGCGAGUGUAACUGUUGGGACCCGAAAGAUGGUGAACUAUGCCUGAACAGGGUGAAGCCANAGGAAACUCUGGUGGAGGCUCGUANAUGUGCUGACGUGCAAAUCGCUUUUCGGACUUGGGUAUANGGGCGAAAGACUAAUCCAACCAUCUAGUANCUGGUUCCCUCCGAAGUUUCCCCCAGGAUAGCUGGAGCUCGAUAUUCAGUUUUAUCGGGUAAAGCGAAUGAUUAGAGGUUCGGGGGAUGAAACAUCCUUCACCUAUUCUCACACUUUAAAUAGGUAAGACGUGCAGGUUGCUUGAUUGAACCUGUNCAAUCAAUGUAAGCUCCAAGUGGGCCGUUUUUGGUAAGCACAACUGGCGAUGCGGGAUGAACCGAUAGUCGAGUUAAGGUGCCGGACUGUCCGCUCACCUAGAUCCCACAAAGGGUGUUGAUUGAUAUAGACAGCAGGACGGUGGUCAUGGAAGUCGAAAUCCGCUAAGGAGUGUGUAACAACUCACCUGCCGAAUCAAUUAGCCCCGAAAAUGGAUGGCGCUGAAGCGUACGACCUAUACUCGACCAUGGACAUUAUUUUAUUUUGUGUCCAUGAGUAGGAGGGCGUGGAUGUUGUUGCGCAGCCUUAGGCGUGAGCCUGGGUGAAACGGCAUCUAAUGCANAUCUUGGUGGUAGUAGCAAAUAUUCAAAUGAGAANUUUGAAGACUGAAGUGGAGAAAGGUCCAUGUGAACAGCAAUUGGACAUGGGUUAGUCGAUCCUAAGAGAUGGGGUAAUCCUGUGUCAAGUGCGCGAUUCGCGCAGCCCAUCGAAAGGGAAAAGGGUUAAGAUUCCCUUACCUGGACAUGGCGGCUGACGGCAACNUGAGCGAGCCCGGAGACACCGGCGUCGUCCCCAGGAAGAGUUCUCUUUUCUUUUUAACAGCCCGAAGGCCCNGGAAUCNAAUCAUUCGGANAUANGGCUCAAACGCUGGUAAANCACCNCACUUCUCGCGGUGUCUGGCGCGUCUACNACNGUCCUNGAANAUNCGGGGGAGCAACUACCGAUCAUGCCNGGUCUUACUCAUAAUCGCAUCAUGUCUCCNNNNNNNNNNNNNUCUAGUCGAUAGAANAAUGUAGNUAAGGGAANUCGGCAAAAUGGAUCCGNAACUUCGGGAAAACGAUUNGCACUGAGGGCUGGGCCUAGGGGUCUGCGUCUGGAAANCACUGGCUGCGUGUGCCUGCUGAGCUGCCUUCACGGGCGGCGAAGCGGGUGCGUGCGUGCUGGCGGCAGACGGGCGCAGGACGGGUCUCUUCACGGGGACCUUUCCCUAGGCGACGAACAGCCAACUCAGAACUGGUACGGACAANGGGAAUCCGACUGUUUAAUUAAAACAAAGCAUUGUGAUGGUCCCAAAGGAUGUUGACACAAUGUGAUUUCUGCCCAGUGCUCUGA